AUUGAACGCUGGCGGCAGGCCUAACACAUGCAAGUCGAACGAGUGGCGGAAGGGUGAGUAAUGUCUGUGAAACUGCCUGACGGAGGGGGAUAACCACUGGAACCGGUAGCUAAUACCGCAUACCAUCGGAUGUGCCCAGAAGGGAUUUGCGAGUAGGUGGGGUAACGGCUCACCUAGGCGACGAUCCCUAGAUGGUCUGAGAGGAUGACCAGCCACACUGGAACUGAGACACGGUCCAGACUCCUACGGGAGUCGUCAGUGGGGAAUAUUGCACAGUGGGCGCAAGCCGAAUGCAGCCAUUCCGCGUGUAUAAAGAAGGCCUUCGGGUUGUAAAGUACUUUCAGCGGGGAGGCGUUACCCGCAGGAGAUGCACCGGCUAACACCGUGCCAGCCGCCGCGGUAAUAC
rnacentral:rRNA from 1 species